AUACUCAGGUGAUCGCUGUAUUUAUAAUACAGAGGAAAGUCCAUGCUCACACAAACUGUGAUGUUUGUAGUGUUCGUGCUUGACGAAAUCAUAAGUCAAGGUAACCUUUUCGGUUAACGGCAGGAGACAUCCUAAGUCACAUUGUGAUAUGGAUUUAUCCUUGAAAGUGCCACAGUGACGUAGCCGGUUUGGAAACAUCCGGGUGGAACGAGGUAAACCCCGCGAGUGAGCAACCCAAAUAAUGGUAGGGGCAUCUUCCAGUAGGGAAGCGAACCGAAAGAAGGACAAGUAUAUACUUGUAGAUAGAUGAUCACAUCCAUAUGUACGAGAUUGACCAUCGAUUGCAGUACAUUGGUACAGAACAUGGCUUAUCGAG
rnacentral:RNase_P_RNA from 1 species